UAUGCGAAAAACAAAGCUUAGCUAGCAGUAUCCUGAGUAGGGCGGGACACGAGGAAUCCUGUCUGAAUCCGGGUCGACCACGAUCCAACCCUAAAUACUAAUACCAGAUCGAUAGUGCACAAGUACCGUGAGGGAAAGGUGAAAAGAACUGAGGUGAUCAGAGUGAAAUAGAACCUGAAACCAUUUGCUUACAAUCAUUCAGAGCACUAUGUAGCAAUACAGUGUGAUGGACUGCCUUUUGCAUAAUGAGCCUGCGAGUUGUGGUGUCUGGCAAGGUUAAGCAAACGCGAAGCCGUAGCGAAAGCGAGUCUGAAUAGGGCGCUUAGUCAGAUGCUGCAGACCCGAAACGAAGUGAUCUAUCCAUGAGCAAGUUGAAGCUAGUGUAAGAACUAGUGGAGGACUGAACCCAUAGGCGUUGAAAAGCCCCGGGAUGACUUGUGGAUAGGGGUGAAAGGCCAAUCAAACUUCGUGAUAGCUGGUUCUCUCCGAAAUAUAUUUAGGUAUAGCGUUGUGUCGUAAUAUAAGGGGGUAGAGCACUGAAUGGGCUAGGGCAUACACCAAUGUACCAAACCCUAUCAAACUCCGAAUACCUUAUAUGUAAUCACAGCAGUCAGGCGGCGAGUGAUAAAAUCCGUCGUCAAGAGGGAAACAACCCAGACUACCAGCUAAGGUCCCUAAAUCUUACUUAAGUGGAAAACGAUGUGAAGUUACUUAAACAACCAGGAGGUUGGCUUAGAAGCAGCCAUCCUUUAAAGAAAGCGUAAUAGCUCACUGGUCUAGUGAUUUUGCGCGGAAAAUAUAACGGGGCUAAAGU
rnacentral:rRNA from 1 species